rfam:Salmo salar isolate Sally breed double haploid chromosome ssa20, whole genome shotgun sequence.
UCCCCUGUGGCUCAGUUGGUAGAGCAUGGUGUUUGCACCGCCAGGGUUGUGGGUUCGAUUCCCACGGGGGAC